rnacentral:rRNA from 1 species
UACGUAGGUGGCAAGCGUUAUCCGGAUUUAUUGGGUGUAAAGGGCGUGUAGGCGGGAGCGCAAGUCAGAUGUGAAAACUCAGGGCUCAACCCUGAGCCUGCAUUUGAAACUGUGUUUCUUGAGCGCUGGAGAGGCAAUCGGAAUUCCGUGUGUAGCGGUGAAAUGCGUAGAUAUACGGAGGAACACCAGUGGCGAAGGCGGAUUGCUGGACAGUAACUGACGCUGAGGCGCGAAAGCGUGGGGAGCAAACAGG